rnacentral:sRNA from 1 species
UACCGAUGCUGCGAAGUGAUGAGGCUAC